rnacentral:rRNA from 1 species
AUACCUGAAUGGACACACCCGUUCCCAUUCCGAACACGGCCGUUAAGCAUUCAGGGCUGAUGGUAGUCCCUCAAAGGCGAGAGUAAGUUAUCGCCGGGA